GAAAAAGACAAGAAGAACUUUGGAUUGAUAGAGAUGAAACAAAUGAAAAAGACAACGAGAACUUCGGAUUGUUAGGGAUGAAACAACAUGAAAAAGACAAGGAGAACUUUGGAUUGAUAAGGAUGAAACAACAUGAAAAAGACAAGGAGAACUUCGGAUUGAUAGGAAUGAAACAAAUGAAAAAGACAAGAAGAACUUCGGAUUGAUAGGACUGAAACAAAUGAAAAAGACAAGAAGAACUUUGGAUUGAUAGGACUGAAACAAAUGAAAAAGACAAGAA
rnacentral:lncRNA from 1 species